UACGUAGGCAGCAAGCGUUGUUCGGAAUCACUGGGCGUAAAGGGCGCGUAGGUGGUGGCUUAAGCGUGCGGUGAAAGCUCGGGGCUCAACCCCGAGUCGGCCGUGCGAACUGGGCUCACUGGAGCAUAGUAGAGGCAGGUGGAAUUCCGGGUGUAGCGGUGGAAUGCGUAGAGAUCCGGAAGAACACCGGUGGCGAAGGCGGCCUGCUGGGCGUAUGGCUGACACUGAGGCGCGACAGCGUGGGGAGCAAACAGG
rnacentral:rRNA from 1 species